UAGAAGGUGGUGUAGUGGAAGCACUAAGAAUUUUGAUUUCUUCGGUAGAGGUUCGAGCCCUCUCUUUCUAG
rnacentral:tRNA from 1 species